ACAUGCCUACAACAUAGUGUCAAUGCAUCAGAUCCCAUUAGAACUCUGUAGUUAAGCGCGCUCGGGCUAGAGUAGUAUUGGGAUUGGUGACUUCCUCGGAAGUCCUAUUAUUUUACAUGCC
rnacentral:rRNA from 1 species